rnacentral:rRNA from 1 species
GACAGAGGGUGCAAACGUUGCUCGGAAUCACUGGGCGUAAAGGGCGUGUAGGCGGGAAGGAAAGUCGGGCGUGAAAUCCCUGGGCUCAACCCAGGAACUGCACUCGAAACUUCUUUUCUUGAGUGCCGGAGAGGAAAGCGGAAUUCCUGGUGUAGAGGUGAAAUUCGUAGAUAUCAGGAGGAACACCAGUGGCGAAGGCGGGUCUCUGGACAACACCUGACGCUGAGGCACGAAAGCCAGGGGAGCAAACGGG